CUUUGGAUCAAGCUUGGUGGCUUCAUUUUGGUGUUUGGUGCGUUUGAAAAUCGGCCAAGAUGCAGGUCGUAAUUCACCUUGGUGAAAUUGUGAAUAAUCGGAUAUGGUGACAGAGCGGAGUAUGAUUCCUUCUUUAUUUAUUUCUGUUUUAAUUUUGUUGUAGUAUUCUCUCACCUCUUGUAUAUUUAUCUUUAUGGCCUUAAAGGCUUACUUGAGAGAUAAGUUGUAUAAGCUGUUUUAACUCUAAAACUCUGUAUUUUUCUGUUUGUAACUAGUCAGCUUAAACUCCGCAAGCCGCGGCUAGUUUCCUAUGAUUAUUAUAUUCUUAUAUCUAUAUCCGUUCUAUUCUUUUGCAUCUGUA